rnacentral:rRNA from 1 species
AUGACCAAAUGGGCCGCCGGUCUGCUCAUGUGCGCCGGCCGGAUAGCCCGUGUGCCCGGACGCAACCGCCUCUGCGCCCUAGCUAGAAAUUUUCCGCCCCAACCCACCACCACCAGCUCCACUUCCCUCCGGUUUCCGCCGCCCGCCGAGCCGUCUCCGGCAAGGACCCGGCCGGCGACACGGCCUCUACCCCGGCGGCCAGGCGCGCCCUUUCCUCCCUCCCCGCGCUCCGGUCGUGGCCGGUCUGCUCCUCCUCCUCUCUUCGUCCGGGGCCCCGGGACGUGCCUCUCGCCUCCACCUCCUCGCGUCUGCUUCGGAUUCGCUCCUCCUCGAUUCGUCGCCCGUUUAGGCUUAGAACCGCGCCUGAUUUGGUUUUCGCUCGUGCUCGAUUCGCCCGUUCGGAAUUGCGCCUGGUUUGAUCUUGCUCGUCCUCGCCGUCGUCCGUUUGGGGUCGCGUCCGGUUCGAUUUUGCUCCUCCUCGCCGCCGUCGUCCGUAGUCGUGUCUGGUUCGAUUUUGCUCGUCCUCGCCGUCGUCCGUUUGGGGUCGCGUCCGAUUCGAUUUUGCUCGUCCUCGCCGCCGUCGUCCGUGUAGGCCGCUUCUGGUUUGAUUUCACUCGCCCUCGCCGUGUAGGGUCGCGCCUAGCUCGAUUUCGCUCGUCCUCGCCGUUGUCCCGAUGCGCUCGCGUGUUCUUGGCCCGUCUCGCCUCGUCGGGGGGUCUCCGUCUAGUCUGCGUACUAGCAAUUAUGUCUGCGUGCGCUUCUUCUGUUAUCCGAACUAGCAAUCCUGGGUUUCGUGUUCGCGUCGGUUGCAGGAACGAACGGAACGGGUCUGGUUUCGAAAUUGGAUUACGGCCGGAGACGGGGAGCAGUAACUCAAACAUAUGCUCUCCUGUGAUACUCUUGUCAAUUCUUGGCCCUCUGUCAGUUCUUGUUGGCCCUCUGUCAAUUCUUGAGUUCCAGGAUUACGGAGACGGGGAGAGGCCAAAGCAAGUUCCUGAUCGUAGGACACUGAACGGUUUGUCUGGGCCACCGCACAGCCUAGGUAAUCAGGUUGUAGUGAUUAGGGAGAAGCUUGCAGAACUGUAUGAAUUUGAACAACAAUGGUCGAGAGCAGCACAAAUGCUUAGUGGCAUUGACUUGGACUCAGGAGUCAGGAUGCUUGAUGACAAACAAAUUAUCCAAGUGCGUCCAGAUUGCACGCCUCUAUUUGGAGUGAAUGUUGAAGCUUUUAUCAACAAAGCCUCAUUUUUUGUCACAAACAGCAACCAGGAAGUUCUGAACUUGCAAUACAAGGUACAUACAUUGGAUCUGGACAUGUCACAUUGGCUCUUUAUUGUGUUGCUAAGGACACUGAUGGUUGGGUUGAUGGUUGGGUUUGCAUACAACGCAGUAUGGAGCAACAAAUUGGUCUCAUUGCAAGGUCACUACCUGGACGUAUAG